GCUGAGGUGUGAUGACGAGGCACUACGGUGCUGAAGUAACAAAUGCCCUGCUUCCAGGAAAAGCCUCUAAGCAUCAGGUAACAUCAAAUCGUACCCCAAACCGACACAGGUGGUCAGGUAGAGAAUACCAAGGCGCUUGAGAGAACUCGGGUGAAGGAACUAGGCAAAAUGGUGCCGUAACUUCGGGAGAAGGCACGCUGGUGUGUAGGUGAAGUCCCUGCGGAUGGAGCUGAGACCAGUCGAAGAUACCAGCUGGCUGCAACUGUUUAUUAAAAACACAGCACUGUGCAAACACGAAAGUGGACGUAUACGGUGUGACGCCUGCCCGGUGCCGGAAGGUUAAUUGAUGGGGUUAUCCGUAAGGAGAAGCUCUUGAUCGAAGCCCCGGUAAACGGCGGCCGUAACUAUAACGGUCCUAAGGUAGCGAAAUUCCUUGUCGGGUAAGUUCCGACCUGCACGAAUGGCGUAAUGAUGGCCAGGCUGUCUCCACCCGAGACUCAGUGAAAUUGAACUCGCUGUGAAGAUGCAGUGUACCCGCGGCAAGACGGAAAGACCCCGUGAACCUUUACUAUAGCUUGACACUGAACAUUGAGCCUUGAUGUGUAGGAUAGGUGGGAGGCUUUGAAGCGUGGACGCCAGUCUGCGUGGAGCCAACCUUGAAAUACCACCCUUUAAUGUUUGAUGUUCUAACGUUGGCCCCUUACCGGGGUUGCGGACAGUGUCUGGUGGGUAGUUUGACUGGGGCGGUCUCCUCCCAAAGCGUAACGGAGGAGCACGAAGGUUAGCUAAUCCUGGUCGGACAUCAGGAGGUUAGUGCAAUGGCAUAAGCUAGCUUGACUGCGAGCGUGACGGCGCGAGCAGGUGCGAAAGCAGGUCAUAGUGAUCCGGUGGUUCUGAAUGGAAGGGCCAUCGCUCAACGGAUAAAAGGUACUCCGGGGAUAACAGGCUGAUACCGCCCAAGAGUUCAUAUCGACGGCGGUGUUUGGCACCUCGAUGUCGGCUCAUCACAUCCUGGGGCUGAAGUAGGUCCCAAGGGUAUGGCUGUUCGCCAUUUAAAGUGGUACGCGAGCUGGGUUUAGAACGUCGUGAGACAGUUCGGUCCCUAUCUGCCGUGGGCGCUGGAGAAUUGAGGGGGGCUGCUCCUAGUACGAGAGGACCGGAGUGGACGCAUCACUGGUGUUCGGGUUGUCAUGCCAAUGGCACUGCCCGGUAGCUAAAUGCGGAAGAGAUAAGUGCUGAAAGCAUCUAAGCACGAAACUUGCCCCGAGAUGAGUUCUCCCUGAGACUUUAAGUCUCCUGAAGGAACGUUAAAGACGAUGACGUUGAUAGGCCGGGUGUGUAAGCGCAGCGAUGCGUUGAGCUAACCGGUACUAAUGAACCGUGAGGCUUAACCUU
rnacentral:rRNA from 1 species